UGUUAACAUUUAACUUAAAACAUGUACGAAUCAUGGUUCUUGGAGAUCUCGGAAAUGCAUUCCAUAAGCAAACGUAUUAUUGUGUUUCGUCGUGAAAACAGUUCUAACCAAAAGAGUCACCUUAUAGGACUACUGUGAUUAACGUAGACUUGUUGGAUGGAUUGGAUGCGAAUUGGUUUAUAGCUGUAUGCUAGUUGUCUAAUGAUAUUGUCGACCAUCGUCAGCUGAUCCAGUAAAGAAAACAAUUAUUGAUAGAAAAUAAUAAAGCUGAAUAAACGGUCUACUAAUUUUGGCCACGGAUGACACAGAUAACACCAGUAUCUACCCGCACGUAACUGAAAAACAAAGCAAUGAGCGCUCUAAACAGCUGACUGACAAACGAAAACAACGAUAAAUCGAUGGAUAGAUCUAAUGCAUUGGAAUAAAGGCUAUUUUUUUUUAUCAAGGACGCAUGGCAAACAAAUAGCGAAAAUGAGGAAGUACAAAGGAAAAGCUAUGCAUGAAGGAACUCAGCUGAGGCCGAAAUUCAGCGCUGCCACAGAAAUAAAUGGUUUAAACCAUGACAGAGAGGAGGUGGCCCUCCACCUAACCCCUCAGUGCCAUAGCUGAAUGUGUGUUCAACUACCUAGGGCAUCGUAGAGGGCCAAGACACUGCGCUUUUGAAGGUCGCCGAGCAGCACUAUAACGCAACUCCAGCUCCAGAGUCUGGCACAGCGUCUCAAGAGACCUCUACCUCGCUGUUGCCGCAGGACACCCAAUCCACCAGCAGCUCCAAAGAAGGUCUGGUUCCAACAAACCCCGAGGAGGACAUUCCUCAGCUGCAGUGGGAGAAAGCUAAAUUCAAAAUAAAAAAAUAAAUAAAAUAAUCAUAUUCUUUUACAAUAAAACAUCUUAAGAAAUAA